UACGUAGGGGGCAAGCGUUGUCCGGAUUUAUUGGGCGUAAAGAGCGUGUAGGCGGCCUGGAAGGUCAGCUGUGAAAACUCGGGGCUUAACCCCGAGCCUGCUUCUGAUACGGGCAGACUAGAGGUAUGCAGGGGAGAACGGAAUUCCUGGUGUAGCGGUGAAAUGCGCAGAUAUCAGGAGGAACACCGGUGGCGAAGGCGGUUCUCUGGGCAUUACCUGACGCUGAGGAGCGAAAGUGUGGGGAGCGAACAGG
rnacentral:rRNA from 1 species